rnacentral:lncRNA from 1 species
CCACCAUGAUAAUGCAUCAAAACGAAAUUUACUACUAGCAAUUUGGACCUUACGACUAUCUAGUACAUGGAAGCAUGUGAAUUGUUCAGUUAAAGCUAGCUCCCAAUCUAUAUACGUUUCAGCAUCAUUUUCCCCCUCAAAAAAGGUACACACAAUUUAAUUGUAUUAGAAGGAUUGUUUUGUACCGUUGCCGUGGCAUUAUCAACAAGAGACGUGGAGGAUGGCCGUGGUGAAAAGCACUCAUCGCGGUCACGGGAUAGCAUCGGUCUAGUUGCCAUGCUUCGUGUAAGUCCUGUCAUGGUUAGUAGAAAACAAGAAACAAAUCACAGUAAUAUGUUCCUAUCAACUACUAGGAUGUGGCUACAAGUCGCUCAACUCUCAAGCUAAAAAUCAAGUUCUUACAAGUUCUUACCGUGCAAAACAGGAAGGUGAUGGCCAGCGGCGUGACCAAACCCUCCAAAUAUUAAAUGUAUCGAUGCCUCGGUAACAAACCAACCUAGGUGUAGAAUCUGUGGAGCUUGGAGGCUUUUGUGAGUAGCAAGGAAUAACAAAUAAUCAAAUCAGCAAUGCAAAGUUGAAACUAUGCUCAAUAAUGCUAGUCCUAGCUACUGGAGUCGAUAAGAACGAAUUACAGAAAUAAUCUAAGCCUAGAUACUGAAGAAGGUAGGAUAGAAAGAUGGCACAACAAGUAAAUCCCUGGAAUUUUUUUUUCUUUUUCUUUUUGUGGCCUUCUGUUUGGCUUCUUAUUCUUUUCUUCUUCUUUUUUUUUUCUGUUUUUUAACCCCAGAAACUCACGCAAAAGAAGGACCGGAAAACUGUACGUCGGUCUGUCGAGGAACAGCAAAGGCUGCAGUAAGAAAAAUUCAGAAAAAUAUGGAAAAAUAUAGGUUAGAAGGGUAUUGACACAAGCUUUCCAGCAAGGGCAAGAUCACUCAAAACGGAUGUCGGAUGGUGGAGAAAACUGAGAAACACCGGGCUGCAGCGACGCCGGAAAACGGAUGCACAAACUUGGAAGCUCCAAAAGUCCACCUUACAAACCGAAUUUGAGGGUCAAAGUACAGGGAAACGCCCUGAAUAUUUCCUGAUGCGCCUCGUCGUGAGCUUUCCAAAAAGUCCAAGAACGUCCAAAUCCGAGUUGGUACGCAAAAGAUACGCCCGUUUUACUGAACACGGGUCAAACCCACCCGAAACUAAAAUUCUACUCGGACUCGGGUCCGAAACUGACUCGAACUCUUUCUCUCUUUUUUUCGUUUUUUUUCUUUCUUUCUUUCCUUUUUUUUCCUUUCUUUUUUUUUCAACUUUUCAAACAACUUGAUAUCUAAACAAAAUUCGAUCUAUGAUGAAACACUUUCUAAAAGCACUUCUUAUUGGACUCGGACUCGAACUCGCGGCUGAAAACUAUAACUUGCCGACUCGAUGUAGGACUCGACGAGGGACUCGGUGUAGGACUCGAAGAGGGACUCGGUGUAGGACUCGAAGAAGGACUCGGUGGAAGAUAUGGUGGCGGCGGAAGAUUAUGGCGGUGGUGUGGCAGGAAGUUUGGCGGCGGAAAAUUGAUGAAGGAAACCUGCGUCACACGAAGAACAAGAAAACCAAAAGCAAGUUCGAUCUAGUAGAAAAAAUCUGAAAAACGAUCCAAUCUAAUCCAGCAACUCGACACGAUUAAUGCAGCAAAGAUUCAACAAUGCAAAUACUAAUGGGAAAAUUGCAAGGCUUAGAUUGGUUCUAGGACAAGGUAACUAAUUCUAAUUUUUGUUUGGCUUUUUCUGGACGAUAGGUAAAAACAGAUCUAAACUACGGAUAAACUGGAAAAAAUCUCACCGAGCAACCUUAAGCUCUGAUACCACGUGAUGCGGGUCGGGGUGGCCCGAUCUUUCGAUGAGAUUGAUAACUCUCGAUUUGGGUAGGAGGUGACGUUGACGAUCUAACUACGGCCUAGGAGGCAGCGCCUUAGCAAUCGAUACACCAACUCCAGAGGGUUAUUGAUCAUGCGGGGGCACGAUCAACCUGACCACAAAGGUCUUUGUUCCUGCAAGCAAUCGAAGAACAAGCAAGAACAAGAUAAAUAGCAGAUGCAAUCUCAAAUUGCGAAUAUACUAUAUCAAACCAAUGUCUCAACGAGACGAUAAGUUGGAGUCUUGACGACGGUAAAACAGGUGGUCUAACCGACAUACGCGAUUACACGAAAGUAGCAAAGAUGGCUAAACUUUAUCUAAUCAAAACCCAAGGUUCCUUAG